rnacentral:rRNA from 1 species
GACAGAGGGGGCAAGCGUUGCUCGGAAUUACUGGGCGUAAAGGGCGCGUAGGCGGAAUGGCAAGUCGGUCGUGAAAUCCUUCGGCUCAACCGAAGAACGUCGAUCGAAACUGCCGUUCUUGAGGAUUGCAGAGGAGACUGGAAUUCCCGGUGUAGCGGUGAAAUGUGUAGAGAUCGGGAGGAACACCGGUGGCGAAGGCGGGUCUCUGGGCAAUUCCUGACGCUGAGGCGCGAAAGCGUGGGGAGCAAACGGGAUUAGAUACCCCGGUAGUCCACGCUGUAAACGAUGACGACUAGGUGUGGGGGGGUUCAGUCCCUUCCGUGCCGCAGCUAACGCAUUAAGUCGUCCGCCUGGGGAGUACGGCCGCAAGGUUGAA